rnacentral:rRNA from 1 species
GACGAACGCUGGCGGCGUGCUUAACACAUGCAAGUCGAACGAAGAGCGAUGGAAGCUUGCUUCUAUCAAUCUUAGUGGCGAACGGGUGAGUAACGCGUAAUCAACCUGCCCUUCAGAGGGGGACAACAGUUGGAAACGACUGCUAAUACCGCAUACGAUCUAAUCUCGGCAUCGAGGAUAGAUGAAAGGUGGCCUCUACAUGUAAGCUAUCACUGAAGGAGGGGAUUGCGUCUGAUUAGCUGGUUGGAGGGGUAACGGCCCACCAAGGCGAUGAUCAGUAGCCGGUCUGAGAGGAUGAACGGCCACAUUGGGACUGAGACACGGCCCAGACUCCUACGGGAGGCAGCAGUGGGGAAUCUUCCGCAAUGGACGAAAGUCUGACGGAGCAACGCCGCGUGAGUGAUGACGGCCUUCGGGUUGUAAAGCUCUGUUAAUCGGGACGAAAGGCCUUCUUGCGAAUAG